UACGUAGGGUGCGAGCGUUGUCCGGAAUUAUUGGGCGUAAGGGGCUCGUAGGCGGUUUGUCGCGUCAGGAGUGAAAACACGGGGCUUAACUCCGUGCCUGCUUCUGAUACGGGCAGACUAGAGGUAUGCAGGGGAGAACGGAAUUCCUGGUGUAACGGUGAAAUGCGCAGAUAUCAGGAGGAACACCGGUGGCGAAGGCGGUUCUCUGGGCAUUACCUGACGCUGAGGAGCGAAAGUGUGGGGAGCGAACAGG
rnacentral:rRNA from 1 species